rnacentral:rRNA from 1 species
AACCGUUCGGGGGUAAACGGACAGAGCCCGUGAAUCCGGGCGGGCGAAUUCAGGAUCGGUUGCCGGGAACGGCUGCCGUUUUGAUUUUUCGCUCGUCUUCGACACGGACGUCGCGACCCGUUCGGCGUCGGUCGAAGUGCCGAGGUGACAGUUCGCGUUUCGUCGUUCGGUUUUCCGAACGCUCGAGCGCGAGCCCUCGGUAUACCGGACCGACUGGCCCGACGGUAGGCUAGCGACGGGAGUCGGUCGUUUUUAUACGGCGAUCGACUGCGUCGGUCUGCGACGAUUUUUCGGGCCUCUUUCCGACCCGUCUUGAAACACGGACCAAGGAGUCUAACGUGUGCGCGAGUCACGGGGUAUCGGAACCGUGUCGCCGCGCGUUCCUUGCGGUUCGCGCGGCGCGCGACUUCGUUACGAGCUAAACCCGACGAAGGCGUAAUGAAAGUGAAUGUGGGAGGAUGGCGGUUCGAGUACACGUUUCUCGGUUCCGGAAGGUCCGAGACCGAACGUCCGCACUCCCAAGGCGUCCCGACAGGCCCGGCGGCGUUUAAGUAGGCGAUCUUUUCGGAGUUCGCCGACGGUCGUCGUCGAUCCGGGGCGCACUUUUAGCGUACACGUUGGUACCCGAAAGAUGGUGAACUAUGCCCGGCCAGGAUGAAGUCAGGGGAAACCCUGAUGGAGGUCCGCAGCGAUUCUGACGUGCAAAUCGAUCGUCUGAGCUGGGU